AAAAUUUGACAAAAUCACAAAUCCAAAUGGACGCAAUAUUUCACGAAGAACAAGAGGGGUCGCUUUGUGCUCAGCAUUGCUUAAAUGCAUUAUUACAAGGACAGUACUUCAGUGCAGUAGAUUUGGCCGACAUUGCUCGUCAGCUGGAUGAAUCAGAACGGUUACGGAUGGCAGAAGCAGGGACACAGAGUAUAGAGUAUCAGAGGUUUAUACGGCAAGGUUCCAGUAACUUUGAUGACAGUGGAUUCUUCUCCAUACAAGUAAUAGACAAAGCCAUACAAGUAUGGGGCUUAAACCUAGUGCAAUUUAACUCCCAAGACCCUAUUUCUAGGGAAGCAAGACAGAAUCCAGUGUAAGAUGCAAAGCAGAUAAUUAUUUUUUCUUUACCUCUGUAAAUUUUUUCUUUCUUCGAAUGUAUUAAAAAUCUCUAUUCUUUUGACUAAUUCUUAAUAAAGUUUCAUGUGUUAAUCAUCAUCAAAUACCAAAGAUCUUUUUUUUUUCAAAUUUCAGAGAUAAGAAUGCUUAUAUAUGCAAUUUCCGAGACCACUGGUUUUGUAUCAGGAAGAUUGGAAAGCAGUGGUUUAACCUAAAUUCCCUCCUUACGGGUCCUGAACUCAUAUCUGAUACCUAUCUCUCCUUGUUUCUCACACAGUUGCAACAAGAAGGUUACUCUAUAUUCAUCGUAACUGGCCGGCUGCCGGAGUGUGAAGCUGACGACCUCCUGAACCUUGCCCCUGCAGUACAGCUGAUCAAACCGCGGCUGAUCAACGAGAACCAGUCGAUCAGUAAGUCGGAGGCACAGACGGAUGACCCCGAGCUACAGCGGGCGCUGAUGCAGAGUCGGUGUGAGGACGAGAAGGAUGAUAAAAUGUUACAGAGGGCAUUACAGAUGAGCUUAGAGGGUAUGUACACAGUCGGGAAUGCGACUGGGGACAUUUUGAUGGUAUGUACAGUUGUGGUAUGUUCAGUUUGUGUGGUGGUUUAAUUAAUGUUCAGUGGUGAUAUGUACAGUGGUAGGAAAUUUUGUAGGUAAAGUCUACUUAAUUGUGUAUUAUAUGCAAGCUAGGAUAACAUUGGAAAUUGUCAUUCCAAGAUCCAUCACUGUCAGAGGCAAAAUAUUGAAUGACGGUGGUUUUGAGACCAUUAAAAAAUAAGCAGUGGGUGACAAUGAUUUUUGAGCCUCUUAAAAAAUAAACAAUUCAAUGAACUUAAAAUGAUGCCACAUUGUUAAUUAUAUGAGUAACUAUAGGUCUAAAAUAUCUAAUUAUAAAAGUUUCUGUUUUCAAAAUAAAUUGGUUUUGUGUUGAAUGAAUGGUUUCGUGUGUGUGCCCUACACAUGUUUCAUAAUGACAUUUUGCCCACUACUAGGAUAUGUGAUAGAAGAUGACAACCCCCCGCCAGGACCAAGUCAAGAUAAGGUUCAGGCCCCUUCCAAAGAGGUCAAAGCUCCCACACAGGAGGAGUUGAGACAGAAAAGACUAGCUUUCUUACAGCGGCUGGACCAGACAGCCAAGGGCACUGAGGAAGAAGGGAGGACCACAGAGCCUACUGACCCUAAAUCAACUGCAACAGAGGGAGUCAGCCAGCCAGAGGGAGUCAGCCAGCCAGAGGAAAGCCAGGGCUCUCCACAGGAGGAGCAAAUGGAGAAAGAAUCUAAAGAAGAAGACAUCCCAGAGGAUGAGAUGUUAAAACAAGCAAUAGCAAUGUCCAUGGAGGGUCAGGGAUAACAACACACCCCUAACAAUGUUACCUGAAGAAAUCCAAGGAAGGGUGGAACUGGCUGUUCAAAUUCAUCAUCGGUCGGCAGAAACUUCAUCUACUGACUAUGCUAACGGUGCCAUAUCCCCGCAGCCUUUACCAAUAGAUCUUUUGUGCAUUUACUUAACUAGUGCAUGGUACAUGCGUAUUCAUCGGUACUCAUAUUAGUUUACCCCUGUGAUAUCAUUCUGAUAUACUCACUGUUGGUACGGCCCAGUUUUUCUUUCACCACUGAUGGGCAGUAUGUACCUAUAUACUUGAAGAAUGGCUGCAGUCGUCAGGUUCUAACUGCUCCUAUAGUGGAUGCUGGCUGUUUGUGGCUUAUAAUUUUUCUGUUUGGUGCUGUAGUACAAAUGAUGCAAACGCUUUUUUCCAGUUAUAAAUUGGAUGUAAUCUGAUGAUUUUUACAAAAAAUAGUGCAUAUUUCUGAAUAGUGGAUAGUUUUGUUGGAGUUUAAAGUUUAGUCAAAAGUUGUCAUUUUUUUUAUAGCAUUAUAUAUACAUGUAUAUGUACCAAUACUUAAUCAUCUUGCUACAGUAUAUAUAUGAAUUGUGUGUAUUGAAAUAUUUGCAAUGAAUUUACAUCUAUGGAUUGAUAUUAUUUUUUAUUGCAAAGCAUGAACAUUGUGAACAAAUAAAAUGUUUUUGUAUCUAGAUACUAGUAAAAUGUAUUUGAUACUUUU
rnacentral:misc_RNA from 1 species